rnacentral:rRNA from 1 species
AUGAACGCUGGCGGCGUGCCUAAUACAUGCAAGUCGAGCGAACAGAUGAGGAGCUUGCUCCUCUGACGUUAGCGGCGGACGGGUGAAUAACACGUGGAUAACCUACCUAUAAGACUGGGAUAACUUCGGGAAACCGGAGCUAAUACCGGAUAAUAUAUUGAACCGCAUGGUUCAAUAGUGAAAGACGGUUUUGCUGUCACUUAUAGAUGGAUCCGCGCCGCAUUAGUUAGUUGGUAAGGUAACGGCUUACCAAGGCAACGAUGCGUAGCCGACCUGAGAGGGUGAUCGGCCACACUGGAACUGAGACACGGUCCAGACUCCUACGGGAGGCAGCAGUAGGGAAUCUUCCGCAAUGGGCGAAAGCCUGACGGAGCAACGCCGCGUGAGUGAUGAAGGUCUUCGGAUCGUAAAACUCUGUUAUUAGGGAAGAACAAAUGUGUAAGUAACUAUGCACGUCUUGACGGUACCUAAUCAGAAAGCCACGGCUAACUACGUG